GGAAGAGUCGCAUAGUGGCCAAUUGCACAGGUUUGGAGAACCUGAGUCCGAAAGGGCUACGUGGGUUCGAAUCCCACCUCUUCCG
rnacentral:tRNA from 1 species